rnacentral:rRNA from 1 species
GACAGAGGAGCCAAGCGUUGUCCGGAUUGACUGGGCGUAAAGCGCACGCAGGCGGUCCUAUUAGUCUGGGGUGACAGUUCCCGGCUUAACCGGAAAAGGACUCUGGAAACUGUAGGACUUGAGGGCUUCAGAGGGAUGUGGAAUUCCAGGUGGAGUGGUGAAAUGCGUAGAGAUCUGGAAGAACACCAAAGGCGAAGGCAGCAUCCUGGGAAGUUCCUGACGCUCGGGUGCGAAAGCCAGGGGAGCGAACGGG